rnacentral:rRNA from 1 species
AUUGAACGCUGGCGGCAUGCCUAACACAUGCAAGUCGAGCGAGCGGCGGACGGGUGAGUAAUGUAUGGGGACUGCCCGAUAGAGGGGGAUAACUGCUGGAAACGGUGGCUAAUACCGCAUACUAUCGGAGAACCCAUAUGGGAUUAGCUAGUCGGUGGGGUAAAGGCUCACCUAGGCGACGAUCUCUAGCUGGUCGGAGAGGAUGAUCAGCAAACAUGGGACUGGGACACGGUCCAGACUCUAACGGAGGCAGCAGAUGGGAAGAUUGCACCAUGGGCGCAAUGGUGAUGCGGCCAUGCCGCGUGUGUGAAGAAGGCCCUAGGAUUGUAAAGUACUUUUAGAGCGGAGUCAUUCCCUAUACAAGCAGCCCCGGCUAACUCCGUGCCAGCAGCCGCGGUAAUAC